UCCUUAAGAGAACCACUCUUGAAGCAGUCAUGAUAAAAAGUUAAUGUGAUACAUUUGGGUUGUAGAAUGUGAGUGUCUAUUAUAUUAAUUUCUGGAUUUCUUUUUUGUAUUUAAAGGAGUAAUUUAAAAAGCCACAAAAUCUCUCCAGUUUAUGUUUAAUUCCGUUUUUCCAAGGACAGAGAGACGAUACAGUUCUGCUCUCAUGGAUGUGGUUUUAGGUUACUAGGGCACUGUUUCAAGGAGGUGUGACUAUUGGAUGUGACCACAAUUUUGGAAAAGGAUUGUCAGCAUUUAUGGCAGCAUUUGCUGCAUGCUGGUGACCGGAUGAAAUGCUGUUCUUAUAUGUUAAUCCAACAAGGCUGUGAGGUAGGUACGCUGCCUCUCUCUGUUUUAUAGAUGAGG
rnacentral:lncRNA from 12 species